rnacentral:rRNA from 1 species
AUCAGCCUUUUGGGUGUGAUUUUGUGGAACGUGAGGAGUUAAACGCCUUCAUGCCUGCAUAUUCGUGCACUUUGGGUGUACUUGCCCGUGUGGUUGGUUAACAUCAAUUUUGGUUAUCAUAAAAUGACUGGAGGAAUGUAGCUUCGAUCUCGUAUUGAAGUGUUAUAGCCUUCGGUAGAUGUGAUGAUCGAGAUUGAGGAUUGCAACGGAUACCCUUCGGGGCUACCUGUCUGGUCUCUGAUUGUUGCUCUGGUGCCGAAAGCUUGCUUACGGUUAUCAAAGUCGAUGGUCAAUAGGUUAGAACGGGUUAAAUUCGUUAAGGAUGUUGACGUAAUGGCUUU